rnacentral:rRNA from 1 species
CCUACGGGUGGCAGCAGUAGGGAAUCUUCCACAAUGGGCGAAAGCCUGAUGGAGCAACGCCGCGUGGGUGAAGAAGGUCUUCUGAUCGUAAAACCCUGUUGUUAGAGAAGAAAGUGCGUGAGAGUAACUGUUCCCGUUUCGACGGUAUCUAACCAGAACGCCACGGCUAACUACGUGCCAGCAGCCGCGGUAAUACGUGGGGGGCAAGCGUUAUCCGGAUUUAUUGGGCGUAAAGGGAACGCGGGGGGUCUUUUAAGUCUGAUGUGAAAGCCUUCGGCUUAACCGGAGUAGUGCCUUGGAAACUGGGGGACUUGAGUGCAGAAGCGGAGAGUGGAACGUAAUGUGUAGCGGUGAAAUGCGUAGAUAUA